GUUGACGUGGAUCUCUCGUUCUCGGCAUGUAAGACGCUAUUAACAGAUAAGAGAUGCAACUUCUCAACGGAAAAUCUGGAGAAAGAUUACUAUCCUGCUCUGUUGGUGCCGCUCCGUCCCCACAGCCGGUUGUGGGCGUUGGUAUCACAGCCAACCAGCAGAUGUCGUUCAGAUGCAAGCACUGUCUACCAAUCUUCUCACUUCCUGGGAAGGAGGAGCACUAUCAUCGUAAGGAAGAUGUCCCGGCGUCUAUUUAGGUUUUUCUGUUGCGGUGUGGCAGGAGAAGAAAGGGAAGACGAGAGACAGGUGGAGAAGACCAUUGAACCUGUCGCAGUCCAGCUGGAGUUGGAUGGAUUAGCUGAUCCACGCAGGUUGCGUUUGCGCUUACGCGAAUUCUUACACGGAUUGUGGAACACGUGCAGUCUUUCUGCAAGAGAAGAGGGUGCUUCUGGCGCUAAGGUGGAACUGAUUGAGCUCAAGAGAAAUAUAAAGCUCCACAGAGCUACAGAGGAAGAAACAUGUAAGCAUAAGCUACGGUACUUGAAACGGCGUGAAAUACUGCAGCAGAAGUGGGAGUCAUACUAUCUUCCCGUAAUAAAAGAGGAAUAUAGUGAUGUUGAAUAUGGUGUUGAAGUCCCAGAAUUUGAAUACUGGCGUGCAUCAUUGUCUGCUGCUUAUUUUUGUUAGGACACCGCUGCCGCCUUCCUUUCGGACUUGAGGCCUCCAACCCCGAACUGCACAGCACCGGCGUUUGCCAGCCGACCCGUCGUCGUGUGUCUGGGAGCCGGCGUCUACUUCACCAUCGUCGGCGCCGUGACAAGCGUAGACGGGUUGGGCGUCGGGGCCUACGAUCCAGAACGCAA